UAUAAUAGUAGUACAAAAGAGUAUGUUUGUUUUCCAAACAGAUGGUUCAUUAAAUGACUAUUAUAA
rnacentral:tRNA from 1 species